CAUGGUGGAAGGAAAGAACCAAUCUCUGUUAAUUGUCCUUUGACCACAAGCAAGGAGUAAUAAAUAAAAGGAAUUAAAUUUAUUUUAAACUACCACUACUAUUCCAACUAGGUUGUGUCCGGUGUUGUUGAAAAGAGCUGGUCCUUAUUCAGGAACUCUGGAGAGGCAGCCAAGAGGGAAAAUCUGCAGUUUCUUACAUUCAUGUUACUUUCCAUAAUAACACAUCCCUCUGUGCUGGGCAUAGAACUUCUCAGCCUCCAGCCAGUCCUCAGGGAAUCAUCAUGAGGUAACUAAGGCACAUACAUCACAGUUUUCAGUAACCAGGGAAAGAGGGCAAAGAAGCCGUGUCAGUGGGUUCACCUUCCUCCGUUGCAAGAAGAAAAAUGCAGAUGAGAAUGGUUACUGGAAAAGGGUGAGUGUGGUCACUGAAGCAGAAAGAGGGAGAAUUACCACUCCUUUUUCUCCUUCACUUCAGUGCUUCUCUUUCCCAUCAGCCAGAGGCGAUAACCCCAAAGAAACUCCUUUCCCAUCGAGGAGAUGGACUGAACCCAAUCAGUUAUCCAGAGGGAUAGAAAGCAGGGUGUGAUGACACAGACCAGGCCAUAGUCCUAUCACUGGGAAGCAGAGGCAGGAAGACGAAGACUUCAAGACAAUGGAAGAAGGUGUUACUGGAGUUAGAGACUCUAGUGAAGCCCAGGUGGAUGCUGGAAAUCAAAUCCCCAGUCUUCAGGAAGACCAGUCAGCCUUGUAACUACUGAACCAUCUGGAUCCUGAUCCAGCCCCUCAACUAUAAUGUUAAUUGAUGUCCUUAUCCCAUGGCUUCUGUGAAUCCAUACACUGCUCAAGGAAAGCAAAACCUGUCACUUGCAGAAACCGACAUCUACAAAGUUUACAUUCUGUCUUCCAAAACCAUCUCCCUUUCCCCUAUAUGCAGAUGGACACACAGUAUAAGGGAGAAGAUUCCAACCUUGGUGGUUACAUUGUGUCUAAACUCCACAUUAAUUAUUAAUUAAGUAUUAAUUUCCAGC
rnacentral:lncRNA from 1 species